rnacentral:rRNA from 1 species
GAGUGCAGACAGGGAUGCUGGAACUCGUGGUGUAGCGGUGAAAUGCUUAGAUAUCACGAUGAACUCCGAUCGCGAAGGCAGGUGUCCGGGCUGCAACUGACGCUGAGGCUCGAAAGUGUGGGUAUCAAACAGGAUUAGAUACCCUGGUAGUCCACACAGUAAACGAUGUAUACUCGCGGUUUGCGAUAUAAUGUAAGCCGCCAAGCGAAAGCAUUAAGUAUACCACCUGGGGAGUACGCCGGCAACGGUGAAACUCAAAGGAAUUGACGGGGGCCCGCACAAGCGGAGGAACAUGUGGUUUAAUUCGAUGAUACGCGAGGAACCUUACCCGGGCUUGAACUAAGAGUGACAGAUUUAGAGAUAGAUUUUUCUUCGGACACUCUUGGAGGUGCUGCAUGGUUGUCGUCAGCUCGUGCCGUGAGGUGUCGGCUUAAGUGCCAUAACGAGCGCAACCCUUUUCCUUGGUUGCCAUCAGGUAAUGCUGGGCACUCCAGGGAUACUGCCAUCGUAAGAUGUGAGGAAGGUGGGGAUGACGUCAAAUCAGCACGGCCCUUACGUCCGGGGCUACACACGUGUUACAAUGGGGGGUACAGAAGGUCGCUACCUGGUGACAGGAUGCUAAUCUCAAAAACCUCUCUCAGUUCGGAUCGGAGUCUGCAACCCGACUCCGUGAAGCUGGAUUCGCUAGUAAUCGCGCAUCAGCCAUGGCGCGGUGAAUACGUUCCCGGGCCUUGUACACACCGCCCGUCAAGCCAUGAAAGCCGGGGGUGCCUGAAAGCCGUGACCGGAAGGGUCGGCCUAGGGUAAAACUGGUGAUUGGGGCUAAGUCGUAACAAGGUAGCCGUACCGGAAGG